rnacentral:rRNA from 1 species
UUCGAUUCUGGCUCAGAUUGAACGCUGGCGGGAUCUUUUACACAUACAAGUCGAACGGCAGCACGGACUUCGGUCUGGUGGCGAGUGGCGAACGGGUGGUAAUGCUGUCGGAACGUGCCUAGUAGCGGGGAUAACUACCGCGAAAGCGUAGCUAAUACCACGCAUACGCCCUUCGGGGAAAGCGGGGGACCUUCGGGCCUCGCACUAUUAGAGCCCCGGUCGAUAUCGGAUUGGCUAGUUGGUGGGGUAACGGCUCACCAAGACGACGAUCCGUAGCUGGUUUGAGAGGACGACCAGCCACACUGGGACUGAGACACGGCCCAGACUCCUACGGGAGGCAGCAGUGGGGGAAUUUUGGACAAUGGAAACCCUGAUCCAGCCAUCCCGCGUGUGCGAUGAAGGCCGGGUUGUAAAGCACUUUUGGCAGGAAAAAAACGGCACGGGAUAAUACCCCGUGCAACUGACAGUACCUGCAGAAUAAGCGCAGCUAACUACGUGCCAGCAGCCGCGGUAAUACGUAGGGUGCAAGCGUUAAUCGGAAUUACUGGGCGUAAAGCGUGCGCAGGCGGUUCGGAAGAAAGAUGAAAUCCCAGAGCUUAACUUUGGAACUGCAUUUUAACUACCGAGCUAGAGUGUGUCAGAGGAGGUGGAAUUCCGCGUGUAGCAGUGAAAUGCGUAGAUAUGCGGAGGAACACCGAUGGCGAAGGCAGCCCUCCUGGGAUAACACUGACGCUCAUGCACGAAAGCAGUAAGGAGCAAGCCCGGAUUAGAUACCCUGGUAGUCCACGCCUAAACGAUGUCAACUAGCUGUUGGGGCCUUCGGGCCUUGGUAGCGCAGCUAACGCGUGAAGUUGACCGCCGCAAAUUACGGUCGCAAGAUUAAAACUCAAAGGAAUUGACGGGGACCCGCACAAGCGGUGGAUGAUGUGGAUUAAUUCGAUGCAACGCGAAAAACCUUACCUACCCUUGACAUGUGCGAUCCCGAAGAGAUUUGGGGAGUGCUCGCAAAGAGAACCGGAACACAGGUGCUGCAUGGCUGUCGUCAGCUCGUGUCGUGAAGUGUUGGGUUAAGUCCCGCAACGAGCGCAACCCUUGUCAUUAGUUGCUACGAAGGGCACUCUAAUGAGACUGCCGGUGACAAACCGGAGGAAGGUGGGGAUGACGUCAAGUCCUCAUGGCCCUUAUGGGUAGGGCUUCACACGUCAUACAAUGGUGGGACAGAGGGUCGCCAACCCGCGAGGGAGCCAAUCCCAGAGAAACCCGAUCGUAGUCCGGAUCGCAGUCUGCAACUCGACUGCGUGAAGUCGGAAUCGCUAAUCGCGGAUCAGCAUGUCGCGGUGAAUACGUUCCCGGGUCUUGUACACACCGCCCGUCACACCAUGGGAGUGGGUUUUACCGAAGUAGUUAGCCUAACCGUAAGGAGGGCGAUUACCACGGUAGGAUUCAUGACUGGGGUGGAAAGUCGUAACAAGGUAG